AUGUUUUUCCAAUUUGUCUUUAAAUAUCUUUGUAUUGCUAUGUAUGCAGAUGAUAUGAGGGAUGGCAAUCAAAUGCAUGAUCCAGACUACGACAACGGCUCGUACGUGGAUCUACCUGAUGAUGAUAAUUAUGAACCUCCUCCGAGUCACAGAGCGUUAAUCCCACCUCCAGCUACCUUACCAAGGGGAGAAUAUAUCGACAACUUGCAAAACCCACCAAGCCGACCACCGAGGACCCCCAUCAGGCCAAGCAAGCUCUCCCAACAGUUGCCCCCUGAGCCCAUAAUUGAUGAAGUGAAGCAAAUUUUUUUAACCCACAUUUUGGCCUUGUCAGACCUCAUGUAA
rnacentral:lncRNA from 1 species